AGCGCAGGCGGUUCGGCAAGUCAUUGGUGAAAUUCUCAGGCUCAACCUGGGGGCUGCCACUGAUACUGCCGAUCUUGAGUGUGGAAGAGGUAGAUGGAAUUCCUGGUGUAGCGGUGAAAUGCGUAGAUAUCAGGAAGAACACCGAUGGCGAAGGCAGUCUACUGGUCCAUUACUGACGCUCAUGCUCGAAAGCGUGGGAUCAAACAGGAUUAGAUACCCUGGUAGUCCACGCCCUAAACGAUGGAUACUCGAUGUCGUGCCGCAAGGCUCGGUGUCUAAGCAAACGCAUUAAGUAUCCCACCUGGGAAUACGAUCGCAAGGUUGAA
rnacentral:rRNA from 1 species